CUCUCCGUGGUUCAAUGGAUAGAACGAGCGCCUCCUAAGCGCUAGAUACAGGUUCGAUUCCUGUCGGGGAGACCA
rnacentral:tRNA from 4 species